UACGUAGGGUGCAAGCGUUGUCCGGAAUUAUUGGGCGUAAAGAGCUCGUAGGCGGUCUGUCGCGUCGGCUGUGAAAACCCGGGGCUCAACCCCGGGCCUGCAGUCGAUACGGGCAGACUAGAGUGCGGUAGGGGAGACUGGAAUUCCUGGUGUAGCGGUGAAAUUCGCAGAUAUCAGGAGGAACACCGGUGGCGAAGGCGGGUCUCUGGGCAGUAACUGACGCUGAGGAGCGAAAGCGUGGGGAGCGAACAGG
rnacentral:rRNA from 1 species